rnacentral:rRNA from 1 species
AUACGUAGGGGGCAAGCGUUAUCCGGAAUUAUUGGGCGUAAAGAGUACGUAGGCGGUUUCUUAAGCGUGGGGUGAAAGGCUAUGGCUUAACCAUAGUAAGCCUUGCGAACUGAGAGAACUUGAGUGCAGGAGAGGAAAGCGGAAUUCCUAGUAUAGCGGUGAAAUGCGUAGAUAUUAGGAGGAACACCGGUAGCGAAGGCGGCUUUCUGGACUGUAACUGACACUGAGGCACGAAAGCGUGGGGAGC